CUUCGAAAUCUCCUAGAGGAGUUGUUAAAAUACAGAUCCCACCUCCUGAACUUCUAAUUCCAAAGUUCUAGUUUGGAGCCUUAGAAACUUCAUUCCUAUCAAGUUCUUAGAUGAUAUUGAUACCGAUGCUGCUGGCCUGGGGACCACAUUAAUACAAGUACAUGUAACAUAGACGUUGUACUAUGGAGCCUCAACCAAUCUAAUUAUUUUAGCAGAUGGGUAGGUUAGAAAGGAGUCUCCACCUAUGCAUUUUGGAAAACAAAAAAUUGAAUGUAGAUAAUCCUUGGUAUAAAUCCCUAGAUUUGAGCUCAGCUAUACCAGAGUGCAAAAGUAAUUAGCCUCCAAUUAAAAUACAUAAAUUAAAAAAAAAAUAGGUAAGAUAUUGCUUGCUAUCCAGUCUAAGGAUGUUCAUUGGGUCACCACAUAUGUAAUCCUGGCUUUGCAGGUACACAAAGCAUCAAGAAUUUAUUUUUUGGUGGAGGGUGUACUUUGGUGUUUCAGUUUGCCCUCCUCACCCAGAAUGUCAUUAGCAGAACAACAAAGCUUCUAAAAAACCCCAAAGUUUCAGAGUGUGAUCUGAAGUUCCGCUCAUGUGACCCAAGGAAGCAAAGUUCAUCACCUCAGUGUGGCCCUUGACCUCUGCGAAUGAUCGGUUGGGUUGCUAUCACCUCUGGGUCCCCGAGCACCCUGGCUGGCCCAGGCUUCUGCUUCCGUCACUCUGGAUGGCCCUCAUACUAAGGUGAUGAUGACAACAAGCAUAAAGAAGCCUUUCAAUAGUGACUUCCUGUAUCUCGCUUAUCCCAGCUCAGAAAAAGCUUGCCAUUCAAAUGAACUGGCGUCACAGACGCACUGGAAGAAGGGAGGGAAGGAGCAGAGGGAUGGGGCGGGGGGGCCCUUUCAAAAGCUCUCCCUGUGAGAAGAGGUGACUGGAACAGGAAGAAGAGGAGCCCCAGGCUGGCUGUUUUUAGCCUGAGACGUGGAGCCCUUUGGUCCCCUCUCCUCUUCCUCUCAGGCCCUCCGAACUUGCCAAAGGCGUAGGUCGCCCAGGCAGCUCAUUCUGUCCGCUCUGCUCUCAAACAAGCAAGCAGGGCCAAAGCUAUGUGUGCGGAAACACAGGCUUUUCCGUCAAAAUCUGCAAACUCCGUUCACAACGCUGUCUUCCGGGAUCAAAGCAUCGCCUCCCAAAUGAUGCUGCUCAGGGAGGGACCCAGGAAGGAAGAGAAAGGAAAAUUCACAAUGCUUUGGUGUCGACGUUGACUCUUCACACUCAAGGGGUCAACCCGGUUCCUGUUCCAGCAGAGGGAACAGCUUGUGUCUGGUGGGGGAAGGUGUGGAGUCCCUGCUGUAGGUUCCAUGCUGAGAUGGCUUGCUGACUGAAGAUGCAGGCUCUUGCAUCAGAGAAAGGAGAGCAGGGCCAUUUGGACUUCAGACCUCAGACCACGCUUAGUUUUCUCAGGUUUCCCUGUAUACAAAGGGAGAUUUUCCAUCGAGAACCAGCCAGCAGCACAGCCAGAUCUCAGCAUGGCCACUAAACCUGGGCACACCCACCAGAGUUAGAGAGACGACAGAGACGUGCUAGCAGCAAAUAGAGACUACCUCAUCAGGAGAAAUGAAAGAGGUUGAAGCGAAAUCUCACCAUGGGAUCUAAAGUUAUUCAGCUCUGUCUGUAUCCCAAAU
ensembl:lncRNA